UAAUUAUCCCAAUAACACGUGCUGAUAGGAAGGGAGCGCUCAUCGCACUUAAGGAUUCGGCCACAGUACUCGUGGACUUCGAUCUGACUCAACCCAUUUUGACAUUGGGUCUAUUGUCUGUCAUCUUGCUGUUAGGUCUCUUGUAGACCGCACUCCCACUCAACUUAUUAGACUCACCCAACUCAACUUAUUAAUUUCUUGAACCUAAUGUCACAGGGCAGGAUGUUGAAUCUAUUUUAGUCCAAUAAUAAAUAGCCAACAAAAGCUGGUCAACAAGGGCGGCUCUUCUCCUCAAAGAACACUAAGGGCCCGUUUCGAUUGGGUACAAGAUGAGGUAUAAGGCUCUUAUACUCCAUUUUGUUGAAUUUUAUCUAAUAAUAAAUUUUGAUGAUAACAAACAAAUUUUGGAUUUAAUUUGUUACUUAGGAAUUUCAGGUUGUAAUUGAAUUUAAAGUGGCUUAAGCCGAACCAAAAUUGAUCAAAGGUAACCAUUCAAUCAAAUUGUUCAAAUUGGUCCGGACAAGAUCAAAUUGUACCAAAUUGGAUGCAAGUGGCACAACAAUAAUUU
rnacentral:lncRNA from 1 species